rnacentral:rRNA from 1 species
GAUGAACGCUGGCGGCGUGCCUAAUACAUGCAAGUCGAGCGAAUGGAUUAAGAGCUUGCUCUUAUGAAGUUAGCGGCGGACGGGUGAGUAACACGUGGGUAACCUGCCCAUAAGACUGGGAUAACUCUGGGAAACCGGGGCUAAUACCGGAUAACAUUUUGAACCGCAUGGUUCGAAAUUGAAAGGCGGCUUCGGCUGUCACUUAUGGAUGGACCCGCGUCGCAUUAGCUAGUUGGUGAGGUAACGGCUCACCAAGGCAACGAUGCGUAGCCGACCUGAGAGGGUGAUCGGCCACACUGGGACUGAGACACGGCCCAGACUCCUUGGGGAGGCAGCAGUAGGGAAUCUUCCGCAAUGGACGAAAGUCUGACGGAGCAACGCCGCGUGAGUGAUGAAGGCUUUCGGGUCGUAAAACUCUGUUGUUAGGGAAGAACAAGUGCUAGUUGAAUAAGCUGGCACCUUGACGGUACCUAACCAGAAAGCCACGGCUAACUACGUGCCAGCCGCCGCAGUAA